CCUACGGGAGGCUGCAGUGGGGAAUAUUGGACAAUGGGCGAAAGCCUGAUCCAGCCAUGCCGCGUGUGUGAAGAAGGCCUUCGGGUUGUAAAGCACUUUCAGUGGGGAAGAAAGCCUUGGGGCUAAUACCCUCGAGGAAGGACAUCACCCACAGAAGAAGCACCGGCUAACUCCGUGCCAGCAGCCGCGGUAAUACGGAGGGUGCGAGCGUUAAUCGGAAUUACUGGGCGUAAAGCGCGCGUAGGCGGUCUGAUAAGCCGGUUGUGAAAGCCCCGGGCUCAACCUGGGAACGGCAUCCGGAACUGUCAGGCUAGAGUACAGGAGAGGAAGGUAGAAUUCCCGGUGUAGCGGUGAAAUGCGUAGAGAUCGGGAGGAAUACCAGUGGCGAAGGCGGCCUUCUGGACUGACACUGACGCUGAGGUGCGAAAGCGUGGGUAGCAAACAGGAUUAGAUACCCUUGUAGUC
rnacentral:rRNA from 1 species